GUGCCAGCCGCCGCGGUAACACCAGCGCCUCGAGUGGGGAUCGCGAUUAUUGGGCCUAAAGCGUCCGUAGCAGGCCAGGUAAAUCCUUUGUGAAAUCGGCAGGCUUAACCUGCCGGCGCGCAGAGGACACUGCAGGGCUUGAGACCGGGAGAGGUCAGAAGUAUUCCUUGGGUACCGGUAAAAUGGGUUAAUCCAAGGAGGACUACCAAUGGCGAAGGCAUCUGACCAGAACGGUUCUGACUGUGAGGGACGAAAGCUAGGGGAGCAAAACGGAUUAGAAACCCUUGUAGUCC
rnacentral:rRNA from 1 species